UUCUGACAGAAAAGACCCUACCUUAUGGGUCCCUUUCUACCACUCCUGUUUAUCAUCCAGAUGCUCUACUCAAACAAGGCUAACAUUCUUGCCGUUCCUCAUACCCCUGACCCUCUUUGAAAACUCAGCCUUUAAAUGAGCCCUGGACAUAGGAAUUGUCCUCUUUUCUUAACUCUAAACUCAGAAAUGCUGGGUAAGAGUUUUAAGACACACAGAAGUCAAAGGAAAACAGCAAAGUGAAAGUUGGUCUGCUCCUUAUUUCAUUGGUAGAAAGACAGCAAUUCCUCACAUGAUUAUCAUACCGUCCACCGCCAUCGGUACUAUAGUCAGAAAUAAGUUUCUUUUCACUACAGAGUCAGCAACUCACCAGAUAAAGGGUCAGGAUAGAGGAACAGUGCUUGACAGAGUUGUGGUUUGUUGUGGUUUAUCAUAGAAUACAAAGUUUUUUCUCCGACUGAGGAAUGUGAAGUCCACAUUUGGUCAAAAUGGUGGCAAGGCGUCAAUUUUACGUUCUCAGUGGAGAAAGGUGAGGUUCCCCUGGGUGAUAGGAGACGAAGGGAACUAAAUUACUUAAACCGAUCAGUGACCAGAGCAGUGCCCAGCGUGUUCUCAAUAUUUGUUGAGAACAGAUGAAGAAUAAAGUCAGGUACACGGAUAAGGGUUGUCAGAGGAAAGAGAAUGGCUGGGGGAGUGGAAGUCUGCGGAGCAAGAGACGGCGUGAAUUUCCCUGAGGCAGUCAGGGCCAAUGAAAUUUUGGACACGACGAUUAGUAUUCACUAUUAAAGUGUUUUUGUGCUGAAAUUUAACCCCAAAUUUUCAUCCAAGACAGAAACCUUAUAUUGGUGCUGCUUGGAGAAAUUCAGAGAAAGGGGCUCUGUCCCAUACUUGGGGAGAUUCAGGACGCAGAGAACAGCUCAAGGAAUCAAGACACAAAUGACAUGGACAACUCAGCAGGAAGAGGAAAUCUUGGGGAAAAGUGACCCAAAGAGCAGAAACUCCUGGGAACCCACGGAGAUGCUGACAAGGGAGCUGGAUUUCUCCCAGUGGGAAGGAGGAUGUCUGUCUGUCCAAGGAAGAAAGCCAAGAAAGGCUGACAAUGAACCAAGCAGGAGAGGGAAGGCGGCUGGAUGGAAUGGGUCCCUGAGGAGGUGAGGGGGCACACUCAGAGCACAGGGAGGAGCCCCUCCCCGUUUACCCAUCUGAGCCUCUCCCAUUUGAACUUCACCAGUGCCCUGGAGGAUUCUGCACAUGCAGAGACCAAGUCAGAGAGACUAUGUGACAUGCCCCAAAUCACCCGGCUACUAAAUGGGCAGGCAGAACUUCAUGUCUGCCCCUGCGGACUAGGAGGGGCGUGCUUUUUCUUCCAGGAUGCGAUGCCUCCUGCUACGACCACUGUAUGCCAGUUGUCUCUUCAUCUGUCUGGGGUCUUGCCCACCGUGUGUCCCUCAAGGCAACACCACAACCUACUCGUCUUUGUCUGCCUGGGCCCAGCAACAGUGCCCAGCACAGAGAAAGCUCUUAAAACCUCAGGAAAUUAAUCUCAGUCUGUUUUCACCAUGACCCCAAGAAACGGGCAAGGGCAGGACCCACUCCACCCAGAGAAGACAUCUCAGGGAAGAAACUGGCUUUGUCAGGACCAGAAACCAAAGUUUCAAGAUGUCCUCAGCUCCCCAACUUGGACCUGGGAAUGGAUAAAGGAGAGAGAGGGCCAACUGUGGCAUACAUAUUUCUCAAUAAACCUGUAGGAAAAGGAUUAUAAUUUCCAAUCAUGAAAUUGGGGAAGAACAAUUGAAGUGGGGCAGACAACUCAGAGGCUGCCUCUGCCCCAGGAUUGGUGAACCGAGUCCUUCCUGUCCCCCCUGACCCAGGAGGGUUAGCGACUGGGGAUGCGAGUGGAGGACGGACAAGACGUAGAAGAGGGAUCAAGGGGGAAGAGGACUGAGCUACCUACCAUGAGGAGCCACAGAGAGGACAGACUUCCUGGAAGAGAGAGUCCUGCAUUAGAGCAGAACAGAGCCCAGAGGAGAAAAAGAAAGUGGAGCAGGGAAAAUGGGAACAAUAGGAAACUUUGUGUUGAACAGCGGAAGGAAGAUGGCAUUAGCUGCAGGAGCCCCUUUAGGGCCUGUCAAAGGGAACUCUCCAGCCUACAAAACUGGGACACACAGAAUCCCAAAGUUGACUUCCCGCAAGGACCUGGGACAGACAUGAAAACAUCAGAAGAUGAUCGGGCUCCAGAGACCUUCAGCGGAAUACCGAAAAAACGUAAACCAGGCACGCCAGUUCCAGGGGUCCUUGACGUGGGGAGAGGCCAAGGACACUUCUCUUACAAUUGAUUGCUCUUUGCUGCUGAUGGAACGUCUUAUGCUCGAAAUCAGAAUUUGGUCCAAAAAAUUUUGAUGACUGAAAAUAUAUGAAAUUGAAACUCCAAAGCAUGAUUUAAAAGAUGUUAUGUGCCAGGAGUCCGGGUGCAGCUUAACUGGGUCCUCUGCUCAGAGUCUCUGACAAGACUGCAGUGAAGGCAUCAUCGAGGCUGCAGUCACCUCAAGGCUCAACUGCAGAAGGAUCCACUUCCAAGCUCUAUCACAUGGUUGUUGGCAGGAUUCAGUUCUUCUUAGACUGUUGGACUGAGGAAGUGGAUCACGAGCUCCAGCCCCUGCUCCAGCAGAGGGAUUACACAAGGGCAUGACCGCCAGGAAGUGCAGAUGACGGGGAGCAUCUUAGACAUCGACCUACCACAUAUGUCAAAGCAGGGAGUGAGCAGGAGGAACAAAUGCCUUGACCUCUCUCUCUUCCCAUCCUCUGAUCUCCCACCACUGUCCUCCAGUGGCCAAACUCAAGUAGAUGCCAGAAGGCAAGGGAGGCCUCAAAGUUCAUCCUUCCAGGCCAGUACAAAGAUGGACAGAGA
ensembl:lncRNA